rnacentral:sRNA from 1 species
CUAAGUCUUCGCCGUUCCUCGGAGCGCCUCAGUGACACCCCUGGAUCCUUCCAGUCACCUUCCCUGGAAGUGAGGAUAACCCCUCCCACACAGAUGUGCUUGAACACACAUAGCACACACUCACUCUGUCCAAGGCAGGAGAUGGGGAGGAGGUGGGAGGGGCUGGGGAAGGGGUAUGGGCUCCAGAGUGCUGGCGGCCAGACAGGACCUACUUCCCGACUCUCCCUGCCCACAGAUUCUGCUGUCCAGCUGCUCCCUGUGCCGUGCCUGUGAUUCACUGGUGUACGAUGAGGAAAUCAUGGCUGGCUGGGCACCUGAUGACUCUAACCUCAACACAACCUGCCCCUUCUGCGCCUGCCCCUUUGUGCCCCUGCUCAGUGUCCAGACCCUUGAUUCCCGGCCCAGGUGCCCAAGGCAGGGCAAGUGCUGUGGGUGGGAAAAGGGAGGUGAAGGUCUAAGAGCUGACCCCUGCUGCUAUCCCCCUGCAGUGUCCCCAGCCCCAAGUCUGCUGGUGCCAGUGGCAGCAAAGAUGCUCCUGUCCCUGGAGGUCCUGGCCCUGUGCUCAGCGACCGCAGGCUCUGCCUUGCUCUGGAUGAGCCCCAGCUCUGCAACGGGCACAUGGGGGUAAGGGCUGGGCCAAAGGGGCAUGAGGAAUGGGAAUGUUGCUGUGUGGGGCCUAUGGAGUGCCAGGGAGAGAUGGGCACAUCUCUUGCCCUUGAGGGCAAGGGGCAUCCCAGAAGCUGUUGGAUGUGGUGGCUCAGUGGGAGGCAAGGCUCUGGGGAUGUACAUGCCCUCUACUGCCCUCCUGCUUUGUGCCUGAUAGGGAGCCUCCCGACGGGUUGAGAGUGGGGCAUGGGCAUACCUGAGCCCCCUGGUGCUGCGUAAGGAGCUGGAGUCGCUGGUAGAGAAUGAGGGCAGUGAGGUGCUGGCGUUGCCUGAACUGCCCUCUGCCCACCCCAUCAUCUUCUGGAACCUUUUGUGGUAUUUCCAACGGCUACGCCUGCCCAGUAUUCUACCAGGCCUGGUGCUGGCCUCCUGUGAUGGGCCUUCGCACCCCCAGGCCCCAUCUCCUUGGCUAACCCCUGAUCCAGCCUCUGUUCAGGUACGGCUGCUGUGGGAUGUACUGACCCCUGACCCCAAUAGCUGCCCACCUCUCUAUGUGCUCUGGAGGGUCCACAGUGAGUCUGGUAUUUGGCCUGGGUGGGGAGGGUGGGUCCCAUACCCAGAGGGCUCAGUGAUCCUGGUGGCCUUCUUUCCUUUCAUCCAGGCCAGAUCCCCCAGCGGGUGGUAUGGCCAGGCCCAGUACCUGCAUCCCUUAGUUUGGCACUGUUGGAGUCAGUGCUGCGCCAUGUUGGACUCAAUGAAGUGCACAAGGCUGUGGGGCUCCUGCUGGAAACUCUAGGGCCCCCACCCACUGGCCUGCACCUGCAGAGGUAUGGUGCUACCAUCUGGGUGAUCCCUGGCCUGUCCGGGGCUCCACACCCCUUUUCUCUCGCUCAUACACUUCUGCCUCCACUAAAGGGGAAUCUACCGUGAGAUAUUAUUCCUGACAAUGGCUGCUCUGGGCAAGGACCACGUGGACAUAGUGGCCUUCGAUAAGAAGUACAAGUCUGCCUUUAACAAGCUGGCCAGCAGCAUGGGCAAGGAGGAGCUGAGGCAGCGGCGGGCACAGAUGCCCACUCCCAAGGCCAUUGACUGCCGAAAAUGUUUUGGAGCACCUCCAGAAUGCUAGAGACCCUUAAGCUUCCCUCUCCAGCCGAAUGCUAGAGACCUUAAGCUUCCCUCUCCAGCCUGGGGUGGGGAAGUGAGGAAGAAGGGAUUCUAGAGUUAACCUGCUUCCCUCUUCCCUUCAUGGAGUUGGGAACAGGCUGGGAAGGAUGCCCAGUCAACGGCUCCAAGCGAGGACAGCAGGAAGAGGGAUCCACUGUUACCAAAAGUCCUGAUUCCCCCAUCACCAACCUACCCAGUUUGUUCGUGCUGAUAUUGGGGGAGAUCUGGGGGGAGUUGAUACAGCUCUGUUUUUCCCUUGUCCUAUACCAGGAACUCCCCUCCAGGGUACCCACAGAUCUGCAUUGCCCUGGUCAUUUUAGAAGUUUUUGUUUUAAAAAACAACUGGAAAGAUGCAGAGCUACUGAGCCUUUGCCCUGAAUGGGAGGUAGGGAUGUCAUUCUCCACCAAUAAUGGUCCCUCUUCCCUGACGUUGCUGAAGGAGCCCAAGGCUCUCCAUGCCUUUCUACCUAAGUGUUUGUAUUUUAUUUUAAGUUAUUUAUUCUGGAGCCACAGCCCCCUUGCUUAUGAGGUUCUUAUGGAGAGUGAGAAAGGGAAGGGAAAUAGGGCACCAUGGUCCGGUGGUUUGUAGUUCCUUCAAAGUCAGGCACUGGGAGCUAGAGGAGUCUCAAGCUUCCCUUAGGAAGAAUUGGUGCCCCCUCCAGUCCUAAUUUUUCUUGCCCGCCCCACCUUGGCGAAUGCCUCACCCACCCAGGUCCUGACCUGUGCAAUAAGGAUUGUUCCCUGCGAAGUUUUGUUGGAUGUAAAUAUAGUAAAAGCUGCUUCUGUCUUUUUC